AACCAAAAAAAAAAACUUUAAAUAAAAACGCUUGAUGUAGCCUUAGGAUAUUCGUAAAAAACUGUGGAAAGUUUCGUCAUCGAAAACCAUUUAUAUAACUUCAUGAAACAUUUAUAAUAUUUUGAUAGAUGACUAAUUAAAGUUUUUACUGUAGCUAGUCAAGUUAAAAAGUGUAAUUAAAAAAUCAAAUAUUUAUGUUUAUUAUCUAUUUAUGAAUAUGUGCAUUUUCGUAUAAAUAUGUUACCAAAAAAAAAAAAAAUUAAGUUUUUUUUAUAUUACAAUGUUAAGUUGCUUUUUUGCAGAUAUUAGUGACUAUUUUUUGAAAUAUAAGUAUUGUAUCGAACUAUAUUUACUACGAUAGAAAGAUAAAAAGAGUGGCCUGGUGUACCGCUGUCUGCUAAUAACUUGUAAAUUUCAUUGAUCAACGAGUAAACCAAACAAACAAACAAUAUUGACGACUUGAUUGUUGUAGACACUAUAAUCAAGAAAAAAUUUUAUCCGAACAAAAAAAUUUAUAAAAGUUACAGGAUCAGCAUAGUCAUUUUGCUACUGGAUUAUUACGGAACUAUUUUUGAGAUCAUGAAGGAAAUACACACGGUACUUUUAUUUUUUGCUUAUGGUGAUAACGCAGAGCCCAUCACAUUUUGACAAUCACAAAUCAAUGGCAAAAAGUAAUUUGUUACAAAAAUUAAAAGCUAAAAUGUGAUCUUUCAAUAUAGGUGGCAUUCUUGGUCAGCUAGAUUGGCAAAUUCCAGAAUCCAUAAAAAUUGGUGCAGCUGUAGAACAGUGGUUAUAGUUUUUGCUCAGAAGCAAGUGGUUUGAAGUUCAACGUCAUUUCGAACCUCGAAUUUCAAUAGUUGUUAUUAAAUUGUGAUUUUGGCUGUUGCUGGGCCAUUUCAACACAAUAAAUUUUUUGCUCACGAAAGAUGACAUUAAAUGUUUCCAUCUAGAACAACCUGUGCCAUCUUAAUUAAUGAAAGUAAAUUGAUCAAUUUCAAAAAAGUGUAUAGAUUUUUGUUUAACAUCUUAAACAGUGUUCAGAUUUUAUUUUUUUAUGUUUA